rnacentral:rRNA from 1 species
UUAGUGGCGGACGGGUGAGUAAUGUAUGAGCAACCUGCCUUUCAGUGGGGGACAACAGUUGGAAACGACUGCUAAUACCGCAUAAUGUAUUUGGGGGACAUCCCCUGAAUAUCAAAGGAGCAAUUCGCUGAAAGAUGGGCUCAUAUCUGAUUAGUUAGUUGGUGGGGUAACGGCUCACCAAGACCGUGAUCAGUAGCCGGACUGAGAGGUUGAACGGCCACAUUGGGACUGAGAUACGGCCCAGACUCCUACGGGAGGCAGCAGUGGGGAAUAUUGGGCAAUGGGCGAAAGCCUGACCCAGCAACGCCGCGUGAAGGAAGAAGAUCUUCGGAUUGUAAACUUCUUUUAUGUGGGACGAAAAAAAUGACGGUACUACAUGAAUAAGCCACGGCUAACUACGUGCCAGCAGCCGCGGUAAUACGUAGGUGGCAAGCGUUAUCCGGAUUUACUGGGUGUAAAGGGCGCGUAGGCGGGGAUGCAAGUCAGAUGUGAAAUCUAUGGGCUUAACCCAUAAACUGCAUUUGAAACUGCGUCUCUUGAGUGUCGGAGAGGUAGAUGGAAUUCCUUGUGUAGCGGUGAAAUGCGUAGAUAUAAGGAAGAACACCAGUGGCGAAGGCGAUCUACUGGACGAUAACUGACGCUGAGGCGCGAAAGCGUGGGGAGCAAACAGGAUUAGAUACCCUGGUAGUCCACGCUGUAAACUAUGAAUACUAGGUGUGGGGGGACUGACCCCUUCCGUGCCGCAGUUAACACAAUAAGUAUUCCACCUGGGGAGUACGACCGCAAGGUGAAA